rnacentral:rRNA from 2 species
UACGUAGGGUGCAAGCGUUGUCCGGAAUUAUUGGGCGUAAAGAGCUCGUAGGCGGUCUGUCGCGUCGGCUGUGAAAACCCGAGGCUCAACCUCGGGCCUGCAGUCGAUACGGGCAAACUAGAGUACUGCAGGGGAGACUGGAAUUCCUGGUGUAGCGGUGAAAUGCGCAGAUAUCAGGAGGAACACCGGUGGCGAAGGCGGGUCUCUGGGCCGAUACUGACGCUGAGGAGCGAAAGCGUGGGGAGCGAACAGG